UAGAUAUAUUAUUGUAUUCAACUGUAUUCACGACGUGAAACAGGGGAUUACACUAUUUUUAAACGGAAAGUGAAUCAAUUAACAUAAUAGACUCCU
rnacentral:pre_miRNA from 1 species